GUGUCCUGUCCUUGGUCCCUGUGUCCUGUCCUUGGUUCCUGUGUCCUGUCCUUGGUCCCUGUGUCCUGUCCUUGGUCCCUGUGUCCUGUCCUUGGUUCCUGUGUCCUGUCCUUGGUCCCUGUGUCCUGUCCUUGGUCCCUGUGUCCUGUCCUUGGUCUCUGUGUCCUGUGGGUCCCUGUGUUCUGUUCUUUUUGGUGCCUGUGUUCUGUCCUUGGUCCCUGUGUCCUGUCUUUGGUCCCUGUGCCCUGUCCUUGGUCCCUGUGUCCUGUCGUUGGUCCCUGUGUUCUGUCAUUGGUCCCUGUGUCCUGUCCUUGGUCUCUGUGUCCUGUGGGUCCCUGUGUUCUGUUCUUUUUGGUGCCUGUGCCCUGUCCUUGGUCCCUGUGUCCUGUCGUUGGUCCCUGUGUUCUGUCAUUGGUCCCUGUGUAGUGUCUUUGGUCCCUGUGUUCUGUCAUUGGUCCCUGUGUAGUCUUUGGUCCCUGUGUUCUGUUAUUGGUCUCUGUGUUCUGUCCUUGAUCCCUGUGUCCUGUCCUUGGUCCCUGUGUUCUGUUAUUGGUCCCUGUGUUCUGUCCUUGAUCCCUGUGUCCUGUCCUUGGUCCCUGUGUUCUGUUAUUGGUCCCUGUGUUCUGUCAUUGGUCCUUGUGUUCUGUCAUUGGUCCUUGUGUUCUGUCAUUGGUCUUUAUGUUCUGUUCUUGGUCCCUGUGUUCUGUCCUUUGUCCCUGUGUUCUGUAAUUAGUCCCUGUAUCCUAUGCUUGGUCCCUGUGUUCUGUCCUUGGUAUUUGUGUUCUGGUCUUGGUCCCUGUGUUCUAUCCUUGGUCCCUGUGUUCUGUUUUUCUUGGUCCCCAUGUUCAGUUCUUCGGUACCUGUACUGUUGGUAUUGGGUUCCUGAAUCCUCCUAAGUGGGCUUCUGCGUUCUUACUAUGGCUUCCUCUUUUCUGUAAAUCCAUGUUAUCCUGUAAUGUCAGUGAAUCUCCAAUUCCAACUUGUGGGAUCACAAUGGCCCAGGGUCGCAGGAAGUGUCCCUGGAGCUUCAACCCCGGAUUCCUCAAACAUGAGGAUGCCUAGUGGCAUUUGUCUCCAAGAAGUGGUGCUGUACUUUGGCCCCGUGGGUACCCUCAAUACACUUACCACACAUGGACCGGGUGCUGAUCCUGACAGAUCUUGCCGUGUUUUAUCUGAAUCUCACCGCCAGUACUCAUCCCUCUCUGCCCCGGUGACUGCGGAUACAACCUGACUGGCUGUCUGCCUCCCUUUCCUGUUACCAGGCCUUUCCUGUUGUGAUGGAUUAUACAUUCAAAUGGCGAGCCAAAACAAA